AAAAUGAACAAGCGCUAGCUGCACACAGAGACAUUCAUGAAUCUCACAAAUGCAGUGGUUUCUAUUGCUGUUUUUGUGUUUUCAUUCAGGGCCUCGAAAUGUACCUCAGGCUGGGCUUGAACUCUUGGUGAUCCUCCUGCCUCAGCCUCCGAGUGCUGGGGUGACAAGAAAACUAGAAGGUACCGUAGGUGAUGAAGAAGAAAAAGCCACUGCCCAGCCUGGCGGAGCACGCGGCCCCUUGCUGUGAGCGGGAGACGGCCCCAGCGAAGCCCUGGGGCGGAAGGGACACUGCACACACGCUGCGACCUGCGGCCUCUUUACAGCGAGCAGUAAAUGUCACAGGUGCUGGCGCCGCCCGUCCCUCUGCUCGUCACCCAGCCUGGCCAUUUACUGUCCACUUCCCUCGGAUCACAAGAUGGG
rnacentral:lncRNA from 1 species